rnacentral:rRNA from 1 species
GACGAACGCUGGCGGCGUGCUUAACACAUGCAAGUCGAGCGGUAAGGCCUUUCGGGGUACACGAGCGGCGAACGGGUGAGUAACACGUGGGUGAUCUGCCCUGCACUUCGGGAUAAGCCUGGGAAACUGGGUCUAAUACCGGAUAUGACCUCCUAUCGCAUGGUGGGUGGUGGAAAGAUUUAUCGGUGCAAGAUGGGCCCGCGGCCUAUCAGCUUGUUGGUGGGGUAAUGGCCUACCAAGGCGACGACGGGUAGCCGACCUGAGAGGGUGACCGGCCACACUGGGACUGAGACACGGCCCAGACUCCUACGGGAGGCAGCAGUGGGGAAUAUUGCACAAUGGGCGAAAGCCUGAUGCAGCGACGCCGCGUGAGGGAUGACGGCCUUCGGGUUGUAAACCUCUUUCAGCAGGGACGAAGCGCAAGUGACGGUACCUGCAGAAGAAGCACCGGCUAACUACGUG